CCUACCCCUUCCAGAUGCUUAGCAUCAACAGCGGUUACUUUGAGAGCCCGGGGACCAUAAACUUCCUGCUUGUGUGCCAAUUGAAAGACAGAAAGGAAAGGAUGUGGGUAACAACAAGAUGUCGGUUUUAUUGCUGUGAAGAGACACCAUGACUAUGGCAACUCUUAUAAAGGAAAAGAUUUAAUUGGGGCUGGCUUAUAGUUUCAGAGGUUCAGUCCAUUAUCAUCAUAGUAGGAAGUAUGGCUGCAUGCAGGCAGACAUGGUUCCAAAGAAGGAACUGAGAGUUCUACAUCCUGAACUGAAGGCAACAGGAAAGAAACUGUGUGCCACACUGGGCAUAGCUUGAGCAUAGGAAACCUCAAAACCAGCCUCCACUGGGAUACACUUUCAACAAGGCUACACCUCCCCAUGGCCAAGCAUUCAAACGUGUGAGUCUAUGGGGGCCAUUCAUAUUUAAAUCACUACAAUCACAUACCUAUGUUUCUUUAAGAUGAAUUAUUGGAUUGCUGAGCAUGUCAAUCUCAGGUGUCCCGGUGCUGGCUGGGCCUCCCCUGCUCCUUGCUCCUCACCCAUCCAGAGCCCUCUAGGACAUCCACCCAACCAGGUCAUGAGACACCUUUCCCAAGACAGGGGUUGUCUGAACCCAUGGGGGACCAUUUUGUCCAAGUGCUCCAUGACUCAAGCAAACACAUUUUCUGUUUCCAGGCUCAUAGAGGACCUGCUGCAUAGAGUUCUCCCACAGGUACAAGUGUGAUCACACGACUUGUUCAGCAUGUCCUUUGGAACUCACAUCACAGAUACUCCCUCUUGUACCUGACUUAAAUCAAGUGUAACCCUGACUUUGGUGAGAUGAAAUGAUUUCUGCAUUUCCACCGACAGAAUAUGUUGAUUGACAGCUAUGCUUCCAGCCUUGUUCGGAGAUUUGACAAAGGGAUGGAGUGGGGAUAGGGUAAACAGGAGACCAAGCAGGAAAUAACUUUAAUAGGUCACGUUUGUUGAGCAAGCACAAGGACUGAUUCACAUUUCUAAAAUCCACAUUUUGAAAGAGUUGGGUAGUGCUUCACUCUUGUAGUCUUAGCACUAUGGAGAUGGAGACAGGAAGAUGCCUGGGCCCACAGGCCAACCAGCCUAGCUUAUUUGGUAAGUUCCAGGCCAGUGAGAGACCCUGGGUCCAAAAAUGACAUGAUGACUCCUGGGGAGGAACACCUAAGUUUGUCCUCCACCUUAGAUACUUAGCACACAUGUACACAAGCGCACACACACACACAAAUAAGUUAGCAUAACUUCAGGAAUGAAUAUUUAAUCAUGUACUAUUGUCAGUUCACAUGGAAAUAGAACAUUCUUUAUGGUGGCCCUCAAGAUGACUUAUCAAGGUCAUGGACUUUGGGUGAUUAUCUAAUCUUGGUCUGUAAAAAAGAAGAAAAACGAUGUAAAAAUGGGGAGUAAAGUUUAAAAUAGUGAUUAUGCUGAAAAAAACUUGUCAUUAUUUAGCAUAUUUGUCUCUUACUUUCAAAAACUUGUCAUUUAUAUCAAACUAUGGGACCGUAAAAUGAUAAAACACAGUGCGUGACCGUCCUCGGUGAGGACCGUCCUCGGUGAGGACCGUCCUUGAUCCAUGUGAAUAAAAUACUGUGUCACAGUCUCCUUAUA